rnacentral:rRNA from 1 species
GACGAACGCUGGCGGCGUGCUUAACACAUGCAAGUCGAACGGAAAGGCCCUGCUUUUGUGGGGUGCUCGAGUGGCGAACGGGUGAGUAACAAGUGAGUAACCUGCCCUUUACUUUGGGAUAACUUCAGGAAACUGGGGCUAAUACCGGAUAGGAGCUCCUGCUGCAUGGUGGGGGUUGGAAAGUUUCGGCGGUUGGGGAUGGACGCGCGGCUUAUCCGCUUGUUGGUUGGGUAGUGGCUUACCAAGGCUUUGACGGGUAGCCGGCCUGAGAGGGUGACCGGCCACAUUGGGACUGAGAGACGGCCCAGACUCCUACGGGAGGCAGCAGUGGGGAAUAUUGCACAAUGGGCGGAAGCCUGAUGCAGCAACGCCGCGUGCGGGAUGACGGCCUUCGGGUUGUAAACCGCUUUCGCCUGUGACGAAGCGUGAGUGACGGUAAUGUGUAAAGAAGCACCGGCUAACUACGUG